AUGCUCACUUCAGCAGCACAUAUACUAAAGUUGGAAUAAUACAAAGAAGAUUAGCAUGGCCUCUGAGCAAGACCUGAAGAUUAGUGAAGCAUGCUGUAUUAAA